CUCAUCCAUUGCCUCUGAACUGGGACUGGCCCUACCAUUAGCUUAGAUCAGUGGUUCCCAACCCAUGGGCUGCGGCCCAGCAGUGAGCUGUGAGAAUGAAAAUCUGAUCUGCAAACCUCCUUUAUUUUAUUUUAUUUUAUUUUAUUUAUGCUCCUUUCUGCAGAGCUAACCAUUGCAUUGGAUAGACCACAUCAGCUCUAGAUGAUUAAAUAUGGUUUUCUGUGGGCAAGCAGAUGGUGACUACUGGAUGGCAUAUGUUCUGUAUCAGAAACUAGAGCUAAUGUGGUCUAUCCAAUGCAAUUUUCUGAAUCAGCACCCCAAAUAAACAAACUGAAUCUAAAGUUGACCAAAAACUGAAUCAUAACCCUUUUGGUACUAAUGUUGAGAGUGGUCCCUGGUCAAAGUUGUCAAUGGUCACAAUGGGCCCUGGUCAACAUGGUUCCUGGUCAACGUGGUCCCUGGUUAACGUGGUCCCUGGUCAAGUGGACCCUGGUCAAAGUGGGCCCUGGUCAAUGUGGUCCAUGGUCAAAGUGGUCCCUGGUCAAAAAAAAAGGUUGGGAACCACUGUUGUAGAUGAAGUUAUAGUCCAGUACCCAAACCACUAUGUUGUGGUUUGUAAAGACACCAUGAUGUAUGGGUUAACUGGAAAAGUAUGUGUAAGAAGCCGAUUGGCUAAGCCUGCCAAGAGCUAGUAAUCUGAUUGGUUACUUUCUCUGACAUGCUGCUGGGUAACCGGUUUGAGGAGUUUUACCUCAGAGUUGUGUGUGUAUGCUGACUGAAAACAGCCAGGAGAGAAGAUGGCUGCCAAUUGUUAUUUCCAAAGCACUGAGGCAAAUUAAUGGACUUUAAAGAAACUAUUUAUUCCUACUGUUCUCUGUAAGCAAUCACAGAAACUAUUGUAUAUAUCAUUGCUCUGUUUGAUCCCUUGAUGUUAGCAAAGUUCCUGUUACUUGUUCUACAAAGCUAAGUGGCGCAUCAUUACCCUGCAGGGUGACUUUGGUUCUCAGGCAGCUUCCAUUUAACAUCAUCUACUGUUGUGGUUCAGUCUGAUGAUGAAGGGGGAUUUGGGUUUAUGCAGGCUGACCAAAGCAAUGCUGAUGUGAGAAAUCUUGAAGGCUCUGAUGCUGAGAAUGUUGAAGGCUCUGGCGAGGAAACAGAAAACAAUGAUAAGGGUGACCUAACCUUUCACUAGAUUCAGAACAUCAACAAGCUCUAGGUAUUUCUGGCAGUGAGUGUGAGGAAUCUUUCUUAGACAGAGAUACAAGGUUGAGGUUGAAAGUUCAUCGGCUCAGAAUAGCUAAUAAAUGAGUGGGAAGCCAAGAGCAGAGAAAUGCCUUUCUAGCUUGUAAACAUGGCUAAAUACAGGACAAACAGAAAGUGAUUUCUGUAUAUAGUCAAGCAAUUGUCAUUUUAGGAAAGAUCAAAAAUAGUCCAAAUAAAUGAAGUUAUAUGUCCAGUAUUAGAGUCCAAAGUCUACAAUCCAAUAACUGAAACACACUCAAACUCUUUGGAAGUUUGAGUGGGGAAAGAGCAAGGGUUCACAGGGAGAUUCUUGAAGUAAAGUCCAAACAAGGAUUCGAGGCUAGGCAAGGUAAUUCGUGGUGGAUCUGAAACGCAGUCCAAACUUGAUCAGGAGAGGAAACGCAACUCCCGGUCUACUCGUGAGUAAGCGCACCGGAGGGCCGCUUAGAAGCUCUGAAACAAGAGUCAAUGUUCUUCUUUGAAUAAUCACGUUGACACCGCGAUAGGGAAAGCUCAGUGCAGAACCUUUAUGGAAGUUCAAGAGCUUCCCCCAACAGGUGUUUAACUCCCCAAGCUGUUUCAACAUGCCUGCCUCCCCGAAACUUCUUCACUUCACUGUAAAACUUCAAUACUUCAAUAAAAAAUAUUUUUUUUAAAAAAAAAAAGAAACUUCCCAAGGGAAACGGAUUAAUUACAAUCGUCUCUCUCCGCUAAUCUCGCGCUUCGUCUUAGAAACUGCUUAUGGGAGCGAUGUGUUUUGAGAAAGCCCUUCCUAUCAAACACAACACUUUCCGGGGAACCAGGCUCUGUUUCAAGGGCGUCUCUAAUUGGCUCUGGCACGAAAAUGUCAACAGGGGACAUCUGGAAUGGAACAGAAUCUUGCUGAGAUGGGAAAAAGCCCAAAUCCUCUUCAGUUUAAUCUAUGAUGGCUGCGGGGUCAUGGGCCAAAGGUCCCUGAGACAUCACAAUGCCCAUCAUUUCGUUUGCCAAUGAAUGAAUAUUGGUCAUCCCG
ensembl:lncRNA